rnacentral:rRNA from 1 species
UGCGCAGGCGGGGUAGUAAGUCAGUGGUGAAAUCCUGCGGCUCAACCGUAGAACUGCCAUUGAAACUGCUAUCCUUGAGUGUAGUUGAGGUGGGCGGAAUGUGUAAUGUAGCGGUGAAAUGCAUAGAUAUUACACAGAACACCGAUUGCGAAGGCAGCUCACUAAACUACUACUGACGCUGAGGCACGAAAGCGUGGGGAGCGAACAGGAUUAGAUACCCUGGUAGUCC